GCCCAGGAAAAAACUCAGAAUGAACAA
rnacentral:piRNA from 1 species